UCAAGUCUUUAUGUGUACAAAUUAUACAAUUA
rnacentral:piRNA from 1 species